rnacentral:rRNA from 1 species
UGGAUGAUGUGGUUUAAUCGAUGCAACGCGAAAACCUUACCCACCUUUGACAUGUACGGAAUCCUUUAGAGAUAGAGGAGUGCUCGAAAGAGAGCCGUAACACAGGUGCUGCAUGGCUGUCGUCAGCUCGUGUCGUGAGAUGUUGGGUUAAGUCCCGCAACGAGCGCAACCCUUGUCAUUAGUUGCUACAUUCAGUUGGGCACUCUAAUGAGACUGCCGGUGACAAACCGGAGGAAGGUGGGGAUGACGUCAAGUCCUCAUGGCCCUUAUAGGUGGGGCUACACACGUCAUACAAUGGAUGGUACAAAGGGUCGCCAACCCGCGAGGGGGAGCCAAUCCCAUAAAGCCAUUCGUAGUCCGGAUCGCAGUCUGCAACCCGCCUGCAUGAAGAUGGAGUUGCUAGUAACCGCAGGUCAGCUAUACUGCGGUGAAUACGUUCCCGGGGCUU